rnacentral:rRNA from 1 species
GACGAACGCUGGCGGCGCGCUUCACACAUGCAAGUCGAACGAGAAACCCGGGCUUGCCCGGGCGGACAGUGGCGAACGGGUGAGUAACACGUGAGCAACCUGCCCCGAAGACGGGAAUAAGCCGGGGAAACCUGGUCUAAUGCCCGAUGCCCUCACCGGACCGCAUGAUUCGGUGAGGAAAGCUCCGGUGCUUCGGGAUGGGCUCGCGGCCUAUCAGCUUGUUGGUGGGGUCACGGCCCACCAAGGCGACGACGGGUAGCUGGUCUGAGAGGAUGUCCAGCCACACUGGGACUGAGACACGGCCCAGACUCCUACGGGAGGCAGCAGUGGGGAAUCUUGCGCAAUGGGCGAAAGCCUGACGCAGCGACGCCGCGUGCGGGAUGAAGGCCUUCGGGUUGUAAACCGCUUUCAGCAGGGACGAAAUUGACGGUACCUGCAGAAGAAGCCCCGGCCAACUACGUGCCAGCCGCCGCUGUAAAAC